AUCUAGGGCCACAGCACGCUGAAGAUGCCCGAUCUUGUUUGAUUUCAGAAGCUAAGCAGGGUUGGGCCCGGUUAGUACUUGGAUGGGAGACCAACUGGGAAUGCCGGGUGCCGUAGGCU
rnacentral:rRNA from 1 species